rnacentral:misc_RNA from 1 species
GAUGAAGAACGUAGCGAAAUGCGAUACGUAAUGUGAAUUGCAGAAUUCAGUAAAUCAUCGAGUCUUUGAACGCACAUUGCGCCCCCUGGUAUUCCGGGGGGCAUGCCUGUCCGAGCGUCAUUGCUGCCCUCAAGCACGGCUUGUGUGUUGGGCCUCCGUCCUCCUCCCGGGGGACGGGCCCGAAAGGCAGCGGCGGCACCGCGUCCGGUCCUCGAGCGUAUGGGGCUUCGUCACCCGCUCUUGUAGGCCCGGCCGGCGCUUGCCGACACAUCAAUCUUUUUUCCAGGUUGACCUCGGAUCAGGUAGGGAUACCCGCUGAACUUAAGCAUAUCAAUAAGCGGAGGA